GGUGGCUACUCUGGAAGGAAAAUCCAUACCAUAGGGACGAUAGUUACUUUUUAUCUUUGACUUUAAAUUAUUGUUAUUCCCUGUGUCAAAUAUCGAAUCCCCGAAGAAAAACACGGCCGGUAUAGUUUUGUUUUCUGGCUUAGGUGGUAAUGGGGCAGGUGGGCUAGGUUUUGGUUUUGGCGAUGGAGCAGGUGGGCUAGGUUUUGGCGACGGGGCAGGUGGUGGUACAGGUUUCGGAGCUGGACUAGGUGGUGGCGGUGGUGGCGGUGAUGGGCCUGGCUUUGGUGAUGGAGCAGGUGUUGGUGGUGGCUUUGGUUGCGGCUUUGGUGGUUGAGGUGGGCAUGGAGUUGGGGCAGGUGCUGGUGGUGGCUUUGGCUGAGGCUUAGGUGGUAUUGGUGGACAUGCCGAUGGACCAGGCGGUGGUGGUGGCUUUGGUUGAGGCUUAGGUGGACAUGCCGAUGGACCAGGCGGUGGUGGUGGCUUUGGUUGCGGCUUAGGUGGUGGGCAUUGAGAUGGACCAGGGGCUGGUGGUGGUUUUGGUUGAGGCUUAGGUGGUAUUGGUGGACAUGCCGAUGGACCAGGCGCUGGUGAUGGCUUUGGUUGCGGCUUAGGUGGUAAUGGUGGGCGUGGAGAUGGGCCAGAUGGUGGACCAGGAUUUGGUGAUGGGCCUGGUGGUGGGCCAGAUUCUGGUGGUUCCAUUGGCCAUGGAUACGGCCAAGGCAUUGAUGGCCAAGGUAUUGAUGGCCACGGCCAGAGCCGUCG
rnacentral:lncRNA from 1 species